CUACGGGCCGCUGCAGCAGGGAAUCUUGCGCAAUGGGCGAAAGCCUGACGCAGCAACGCCGCGUGGGGGAUGAAGGCCUUCGGGUUGUAAACCCCUUUCAGGAGGGAAGAAAUUGACGGUACCUCCAGAAGAAGCCCCGGCCAACUACGUGCCAGCAGCCGCGGUAAUACGUAGGGGGCGAGCGUUGUCCGGAAUCAUUGGGCGUAAAGAGCUCGUAGGCGGUUCAGCAAGUCGGCUGUGAAAGUCCGAGGCUCAACCUCGGAACUGCAGUCGAUACUGCUGUGACUCGAGUCCGGUAGAGGAGAAUGGAAUUCCCGGUGUAGCGGUGAAAUGCGCAGAUAUCGGGAGGAACACCAGUAGCGAAGGCGGUUCUCUGGGCCGGUACUGACGCUGAGGAGCGAAAGCGUGGGUAGCAAACAGGAUUAGAUACCCCAGUAGUC
rnacentral:rRNA from 1 species